rnacentral:rRNA from 1 species
ACGACUCUCGACAACGGAUAUCUAGGCUCUCGCAUCGAUGAAGAACGUAGCGAAAUGCGAUACUUGGUGUGAAUUGCAGAAUCCCGUGAAUCAUCGAGUUUUUGAACGCAAGUUGCGCCCGAAGUCAUUAGGCCGAGGGCACGUCUGCCUGGGUGUCAC